UUGAUGCGUAGCCGUAGCGGCGAAAUCCAUGAUCCUAUGCUGCCGAGAAAAGCCUCUAGCGAGCUGGUACAUGGCCCGUACCCCAAACCGACACAGGUGGUCAGGUAGAGAAUACUAAGGCGAUCGAGAGAACUGUGGUUAAGGAACUCGGCAAAAUGCCCCCGUAACUUCGGGAGAAGGGGGACCAGUCCUGGUGACGACAUUUACUGUCUGAGCUGGGGUUGGUCGCAGAGACCAGAGAGAAGCGACUGUUUACUAAAAACACAGGUCCGUGCGAAGUCGUAAGACGAUGUAUACGGACUGACGCCUCCCCGGUGCUGGAAGGUUAAGAGGACCGGUCAGCCACUUCGGUGGCGAAGCUGAGAAUUUAAGCCCCAGUAAACGGCGGUGGUAACUAUAACCAUCCUAAGGUAGCGAAAUUCCUUGUCGGGUAAGUUCCGACCUGCACGAAUGGCGUAACGACUUCUCUGCUGUCUCAACCACAGACUCGGCGAAAUUGCAGUACGAGUAAAGAUGCUCGUUACGCGCGGCAGGACGAAAAGACCCCGGGACCUUCACUAUAGCUUGGUAUUGGUGUUCGGUUCGGUUUGUGUAGGAUAGGUGGGAGACUGUGAAACUCGCACGCCAGUGUGGGUGGAGUCAUUGUUGAAAUACCACUCUGACCGUAUUGGACAUCUAACCUCGGACCAUGAUCUGGUUCAGGGACAGUGCCUGGUGGGUAGUUUAACUGGGGCGGUUGCCUCCUAAAAAGUAACGGAGGCGCCCAAAGGUUCCCUCAGCCUGGUUGGCAAUCAGGUGUUGAGUGUAAGUGCACAAGGGAGCUUGACUGUGAGACGUACAUGUCGAGCAGGGACGAAAGUCGGGACUAGUGAUCCGGCACCGGCAAGUGGAAGCGGUGUCGCUCAACGGAUAAAAGGUACCCCGGGGAUAACAGGCUGAUCUUCCCCAAGAGUCCAUAUCGACGGGAUGGUUUGGCACCUCGAUGUCGGCUCGUCGCAUCCUGGGGCUGGAGUAGGUCCCAAGGGUUGGGCUGUUCGCCCAUUAAAGCGGCACGCGAGCUGGGUUUAGAACGUCGUGAGACAGUUCGGUCUCUAUCCGCCGCGCGCGUAAGAAACUUGAGGAAACCUGUCCCUAGUACGAGAGGACCGGGACGGACGAACCUCUGGUGUGCCAGUUGUUCCACCAGGAGCACCGCUGGUUAGCUACGUUCGGAAGGGAUAACCGCUGAAAGCAUCUAAGCGGGAAGCCUGUUCCAAGAUGAGGUUUCUCACCACCUAGCGUGGUUAAGGCCCCCCACAGACCAUGGGGUUGAUAGGCCAGAACUGUAAGCACAGCAAUGUGUUCAGGUGACUGGUACUAAUCGGCCGAGGACUUU
rnacentral:rRNA from 1 species